AACGAGGCCGACCUGCGGCUGAGUUACCUGCGGAAGGAUCAUUAUUGAAUAUUCUUGAUGGGUUGUAGCUGGCUCUUCGGGGCAUGUGCACGCCUGUCUUGACUUUAUUCAUCCACCUGUGCACCUUUUGUAGUCUUGGGGGUUGAGAGCAGUCAAUAAUCGGAUGACCAUUUUUGGUCACUCCGGAUGUGAGGAAUGCUGAGUGCGAAAGCAUACAGCUCUUCUCAAAGUGACUUGUAA
rnacentral:misc_RNA from 1 species